CCUACGGGAGGCUGCAGUGAGGAAUAUUGGUCAAUGGCCGAGAGGCUGAACCAGCCAAGUCGCGUGAGGGAUGAAUGUCCUAUGGAUUGUAAACCUCUUUUGUCAGGGAGUAAAGUCACCCACGUGUGGGUGUUGGUGUGUACCUGAUGAAUAAGCAUCGGCUAACUCCGUGCCAGCAGCCGCGGUAAUACGGAGGAUGCGAGCGUUAUCCGGAUUUAUUGGGUUUAAAGGGUGCGUAGGUGGGUUAUAAAGUCAGCGGUAAAAUCGUGGGGCUCAACGUUAUCCAGCCUUUGAAACUGAGGAUCUUGAGUGGACGAGAAGUAUGCGGAAUGCGUGGUGUAGCGGUGAAAUGCAUAGAUAUCACGCAGAACUCCGAUUGCGAAGGCAGCAUACCGGCGCCCGACUGACGCUGAAGCACGAAAGCGUGGGUAUCGAACAGGAUUAGAUACCCGAGUAGUC
rnacentral:rRNA from 1 species